rnacentral:ncRNA from 1 species
GGUGCGAAGCUACCAUCUGAGGGAUUAUGACUGAACGCCUCUAAGUCAGAAUCCCGCCUGGAAAGCGACGAUGCAUUCGUGCCUCGGCCUCGAGAGGCGUAGCUAGACGGCCGCGUGGCCGUGGAAAGAGCCCGAUUCCGACCCGAGAGGCCGCGGCAAGAGGCGGCCUCGAAGUCGGUGGAUCCUCCUGCUCGAAAGGCGGGGUGCUAAACCAUUCGCAGACGACCUAGUUGAAGAUCGGGGUGUCGUGAUCACUAGAGCAGUACAUCUCACUGCGAUUUGUUGAGAGUAAGCCUCAAGAUCUGUCGGUUUGU